AAUGAACGCUGGCGGCAUGCCUAACACAUGCAAGUCGAACGAGACCUUCGGGUUUAGUGGCGCACGGGUGCGUAACGCGUGGGAACCUGCCUUUAGGUUCGGAAUAACUCCCCGAAAGGGGUGCUAAUACCGGAUAAUGUCUUCGGACCAAAGAUUUAUCGCCAUUGGAUGGGCCUCCGUUGGAUUAGCUAGUUGGUAGGGUAAAAGCCUACCAAGGCGACGAUCCAUAGCUGGGUUGAGAGGAUGAGCAGCCACACUGGGGCUAGGACACGGCCCAGACUCCUGGGGGAGGCAGCAGUGGGGAAUAUUGGACGGUGGGCGGAAGGAUGAAGCAGCAAUGCCGCGUGAGUGAUGAAGGCCUGAGGGUAGUAAAGCUCUUUUACCCGGGAUGAUAAUGACGGUACCGGGAGAAUAAGCUCCGGCUAACUCCGUG
rnacentral:rRNA from 1 species